rnacentral:lncRNA from 1 species
UUGGCGUUAGGGUUAAAAUCACUGUCCAAAACCUUUGUAGGAACUCUUUUCCAACCUUUUGGAGUUAGUUAGACCAAAAAAAUGAAAAAUGAAAAAAAAAAUAUUUGGGGUUUACGGGCUUCCUGAUUGUAAUACCCGGGUAUUAGAUUUUAAGGCUAGGGUAAGGUUUAAGUUUUUUGGCAUUAGGGUUAAAAUCACUGUCCAAAACCUUUGUAGGAACUCUUUUCCAACCUUUUGGAGUUAGUUAGACCAAAAAAAAAAAAAGAAAAAUGAAAAAAAAAUAUUUGGGGUGUUCAGGCUUCCUAAAAGUAAUACCCGGGUAUUAGGUUAUGGGGCUAUGGUAAGGUUUAAGUUUUUUGGCGUUAGGGUUAAAAUCACUGUCCAAAACCUUUGUAGGAACUCUUUUCCAACCUUUUGGAGUUAGUUAGACCAAAAAAUAUGAAAAAAGAAAAAAAUAUUAUUGGGGGUUUUCGGGCUCCCUGAAAGUAAUACCCGGGUAUUAGGUUUUGGGGCUAUGGUAAGGUUUAAGUUUUUUGGCGUUAGGGUUAAAAUCACUGUCCAAAACCUUUGUAGGAACUCUUUUCCAACCUUUUGGAGUUAGUUAGACCAAAAAAUAUGAAAAAAGAAAAAAAUAUUAUUGGGGGUUUUCGGGCUCCCUGAAAGUAAUACCCGGGUAUUAGGUUUUGGGGCUAUGGUAAGGUUUAAGUUUUUUGGCGUUAGGGUUAAAAUCACUGUCCAAAACCUUUGUAGGAACUCUUUUCCAACCUUUUGGAGUUAGUUAGACCAAAAAAAAAUGAAAAAUGAAAAAACAAUAUUUGGGGUUUUCUGGGUUCCUGAAUGUAAUACCCGGGUAUUAGAUUUUAAGGCUAGGGUAAGGUUUAAGUUUUUUGGCAUUAGGGUUAAAAUCACUGUCCAAAACUUUUGUAGGAACUCUUUUCCAACCUUUUGGAGUUAGUUAGACCAAAAAGUAUGAAAAAAGAAAAAAUAUUAUUGGGGGUUUUCGGGCUCCCUGAAAGUAAUACCCGGGUAUUAGGUUUUGGGGCUAUGGUAAGGUUUAAGUUUUUUGGCGUUAGGGUUAAAAUCACUGUCCAAAACCUUUGUAGGAACUCUUUUCCAACCUUUUGGAGUUAGUUAGACCAAAAAAUAUGAAAAAAGAAAAAAAUAUUAUUGGGGGUUUUUCGGGCUCCCUGAAAGUAAUACCCGGGUAUUAGGUUUUGGGGCUAUGGUAAGGUUUAAGUUUUUUGGCGUUAGGGUUAAAAUCACUGUCCAAAACCUUUGUAGGAACUCUUUUCCAACCUUUUGGAGUUAGUUAGACCAAAAAAAAAUGAAAAAUGAAAAAACAAUAUUUGGGGGUUUUCUGGGUUCCUGAAUGUAAUACCCGGGUAUUAGGUUUUGGGGCUAUGGUAAGGUUUAAGUUUUUUGGCGUUAGGGUUAAAAUCACUGUCCAAAACCUUUGUAGGAACUCUUUUCCAACCUUUUGGAGUUAGUUAGACCAAAAAAAAAUGAAAAAUGAAAAAACAAUAUUUGGGGUUUUCUGGGUUCCUGAAUGUAAUACCCGGGUAUUAGAUUUUAAGGCUAGGGUAAGGUUUAAGUUUUUUGGCGUUAGGGUUAAAAUCACUGUCCAAAACCUUUGUAGGAACUCUUUUCCAACCUUUUGGAGUUAGUUAGACCAAAAAGUAUGAAAAAAGAAAAAAAUAUUAUUGGGGGUUUUCGGGCUCCCUGAAAGUAAUACCCGGGUAUUAGGUUUUGGGGCUAUGGUAAGGUUUAAGUUUUUUGGCGUUAGGGUUAAAAUCACUGUCCAAAACCUUUGUAGGAACUCUUUUCCAACCUUUUGGAGUUAGUUAGACCAAAAAAUAUGAAAAAAGAAAAAAAUAUUAUUGGGGGUUUUUCGGGCUCCCUGAAAGUAAUACCCGGGUAUUAGGUUUUGGGGCUAUGGUAAGGUUUAAGUUUUUUGGCGUUAGGGUUAAAAUCACUGUCCAAAACCUUUGUAGGAACUCUUUUCCAACCUUUUGGAGUUAGUUAGACCAAAAAAUAUGAAAAAAGAAAAAAAUAUUAUUGGGGGUGUUCAGGCUUCUUAAAAGUAAUACCCGGGUAUUAGGUUAUGGGGCUAUGGUAAGGUUUAACGUUUUGGCGUUACGUUUAAAAUCACUGUCCAAAACCUUUGUAGGAACUCUUUAACAACCUUUUGGAUUUAGUAAGACCAAAAAAAAAUGAAAAAUUAAAAAAAAUAUAUUUGGGGUUUACGGGCUUCUUGAAUGUAAUACCCGGGUAUUAGAUUUUAAGGCCAGGGAAAGGUUUAAGUUUUUUGGCGUUAGGGUUAAAAUCACUGUCCAAAACCUUUGUAGGAACUCUUUUCCAACCUUUUGGAGUUAGUUAGACCAAAAAAUAUGAAAAAAGAAAAAAAUAUUAUUGGGGGUUUUCGGGCUCCCUGAAAGUAAUACCCGGGUAUUAGGUUUUGGGGCUAUGGUAAGGUUUAAGUUUUUUGGCGUUAGGGUUAAAAUCACUGUCCAAAACCUUUGUAGGAACUCUUUUCCAACCUUUUGGAGUUAGUUAGACCAAAAAAUAUGAAAAAAGAAAAAAAUAUUAUUGGGGGUUUUCGGGCUCCCUGAAAGUAAUACCCGGGUAUUAGGUUUUGGGGCUAUGGUAAGGUUUAAGUUUUUUGGCGUUAGGGUUAAAAUCACUGUCCAAAACCUUUGUAGGAACUCUUUUCCAACCUUUUGGAGUUAGUUAGACCAAAAAAAAAAAGAAAAAUGAAAAAAAAUAUAUUUGGGGUGUUCAGGCUUCCUAAAAGUAAUACCCGGGUAUUAGGUUAUGGGGCUAUGGUAAGGUUUAAGUUUUUUGGCGUUAGGGUUAAAAUCACUGUCCAAAACCUUUGUAGGAACUCUUUUCCAACCUUUUGGAGUUAGUUAGACCAAAAAAAAAUGAAAAAUGAAAAAAAAAAUAUUUGGGGUUUACGGGCUUCCUGAAUGUAAUACCCGGGUAUUAGAUUUUAAGGCCAGGGAAAGGUUUAAGUUUUUUGGCGUUAGGGUUAAAAUCACUGUCCAAAACCUUUGUAGGAACUCUUUUCCAACCUUUUGGAGUUAGUUAGACCAAAAAAUAUGAAAAAAGAAAAAAAUAUUAUUGGGGGUUUUCGGGCUCCCUGAAAGUAAUACCCGGGUAUUAGGUUUUGGGGCUAUGGUAAGGUUUAAGUUUUUUGGCGUUAGGGUUAAAAUCACUGUCCAAAACCUUUGUAGGAACUCUUUUCCAACCUUUUGGAGUUAGUAAGACCAAAAAAUAUGAAAAAAGAAAAAAAUAUUAUUGGGGGUGUUCAGGCUUCCUAAAAGUAAUACCCGGGUAUUAGGUUAUGGGGCUAUGGUAAGGUUUAACGUUUUGGCGUUAGGUUUAAAAUCACUGUCCAAAACCUUUGUAGGAACUCUUUUCCAACCUUUUGGAGUUAGUUAGACCAAAAAAAGAAUGAAAAAUGAAAAAAAAAUAUUUGGGGUUUACGGGCUUCCUGAAUGUAAUACCCGGGUAUUAGAUUUUAAGGCUAGGGUAAGGUUUAAGUUUUUUGGCAUUAGGGUUAAAAUCACUGUCCAAAACCUUUGUAGGAACUCUUUUCCAACCUUUUGGAGUUAGUUAGACCAAAAAAAAUGUAAAAUGAAAAAAAAAAUAUUUGGGGUGUUCGGGCUUCCUGAAUGUAAUACCCGGGUAUUAGAUUUUAAGGCCAGGGUAAGGUUUAAGUUUUUUGGCAUUAGGGUUAAAAUCACUGUCCAAAACCUUUGUAGGAACUCUUUUCCAACCUUUUGGAGUUAGUUAGACCAAAAAAAAAAAGAAAAAUGAAAAAAAAAAUAUUUGGGGUGUUCAGGCUUCCUAAAAGUAAUACCCGGGUAUUAGGUUAUGGGGCUAUGGUAAGGUUUAAGGUUUUUGGCGUUAGGGUUAAAAUCACUGUCCAAAACCUUUGUAGGAACUCUUUUCCAACCUUUUGGAGUUAGUUAGACCAAAAAAUAUGAAAAAAGAAAAAAAUAUUAUUGUGGGUUUUCGGGCUUCCUGAAGGUAAUACCCAGGUAUUAGGUUUUGGGACUGGGGAAAGGUUUAAGGUUUUUGGCGUUAGGGUUAAAAUCACUGUCCAAAACCUUUGUAGGAACUCUUUUCCAACCUUUUGGAGUUAGUUUGACCAAAAAAAAAAAGAAAAAUGAAAAAAAAUAUUUGGGGGUUUUCAGGCUUCCUAAAAGUAAUACCCAGGUAUUAGUUUUUGUGGCUAGGGUAAGGUUUAAGUUUUUUGGCGUUAGGGUUAAAAUCACUGUCCAAAACCUUUGUAGGAACUCUUUUCCAACCUUUUGGAGUUAGUUAGACCAAAAAAUAUGAAAAAUGAAAAAAUAUAUAUUUGGGGUUUUCGGGCUUCCUGAAUGUAAUACCCGGGUAUUAGAUAUUAAGGCUAGGGUAAGGUUUAAGUUUUUUGGCGUUAGGGUUAAAAUCACUGUCCAAAACCUUUGUAGGAACUCUUUUCCAACCUUUUGGAGUUAGUUAAACCAAAAAAAAAAGAAAAAUGAAAAAAUAUAAAUUUGGGGUUUUCGGGCUUCCUGAAUGUAAUACCCGGGUAUUAGAUUUUAAGGCUAGGGUAAGGUUUAAGUUUUUUGGCGUUAGGGUUAAAAUCACUGUCCAAAACCUUUGUAGGAACUCUUUUCCAACCUUUUGGAGUUGGUUAGACCAAAAAAUAUGAAAAAAGAAAAAAAUAUUAUUGUGGGUUUUCGGGCUUCCUGAAGGUAAUACCCAGGUAUUAGGUUUUGGGACUGGGGAAAGGUUUAAGGUUUUUGGCGUUAGGGUUAAAAUCACUGUCCAAAACCUUUGUAGGAACUCUUUUCCAACCUUUUGGAGUUAGUUUGACCAAAAAAAAAAGAAAAAUGAAAAAAAAAUAUUUGGGGAGUUCAGGCUUCCUAAAAGUAAUACCCAGGUAUUAGGUUUUGUGGCUAGGGUAAGGUUUAAGUUUUUUGGCAUAAGGGUUAAAAUCACUGUCCAAAACCUUUGUAGGAACUCUUUUCCAACCUUUUGGAGUUAGUUAGACCAAAAAAUAUGAAAAAAGAAAAAAUAUAUAUUUGGGGUUUUCGGGCUUCCUGAAUGUAAUACCCGGGUAUUAGAUAUUAAGGCUAGGGUAAGGUUUAAGUUUUUUGGCGUUAGGGUUAAAAUCACUGUCCAAAACCUUUGUAGGAACUCUUUUCCAACCUUUUGGAGUUAGUUAAACCAAAAAAAAAAGAAAAAUGAAAAAAUAUAAAUUUGGGGUUUUCGGGCUUCCUGAAUGUAAUACCCGGGUAUUAGAUUUUAAGGCUAGGGUAAGGUUUAAGUUUUUUGGCGUUAGGGUUAAAAUCACUGUCCAAAACCUUUGUAGGAACUCUUUUCCAACCUUUUGGAGUUGGUUACACCAACAAAAAUGUAAAAUGAAAAAAAAAUAUUUGGGGUGUUCGGGCUUCCUGAAGGUAAUACCCGGGUAUUAGAUUUUAAGGCUAGGGUAAGGUUUAAGGUUUUUGGCAUUAGGGUUAAAAUCACUGUCCAAAACCUUUGUAGGAACUCUUUUCCAACCUUUUGGAGUUGGUUACACCAACAAAAAUGUAAAAUGAAAAAAAUAUAUAUUUGGGGUGUUCAGGCUUCCUAAAAGUAAUACCCGGGUAUUAGGUUAUGGGGCUAUGGUAAGGUUUAAGGUUUUGGCGUUAGGUUUAAAAUCACUGUCCAAAACCUUUGUAGGAACUCUUUUCCAACCUUUUGGAGUUAGUUAGACCAAAAAAAGAAUGAAAAAUGAAAACAAAAAUAUUUGGGGUUUCCGGGCUUCCUGAAGGUAAUACAAGGGUAUUAUGUUAUGGGGCUAGAGUAAGGUUCAAGUUUUUUGGCGUUAGGGUUAAAAUCACUGUCCAAAACCUUUGUAGGAACUUCUUUCAAACCUUUUGGAGUUAGUUAGACCAAAGAAAAUGUAAAAUGAAGAAAAAAAUAUUUGGGGUGUUCAGGCUUCCUAGAAGUAAUACCCGGGUAUAAGAUUAUGGGGCUAUGGAAAGGUUUAAGGUUUUUGGUAUUAGGGUUAAAAUCACUGUCCAAAACCUUUGUAGGAACUCUUUUCCAACCUUUUGGAGUUGGUUACACCAACAAAAAUGUAAAAUGAAAACAGAUAUAAAUGGGGUUUUCGGGCUUCCUGAAGGGAAUACCCGGGUAUUAGGUUAUGGGGCUAUGGUAAGGUUUAAGGUUUUUGGCAUUAGGGUUAAAAUCACUGUCCAAAACCUUUGCAGGAACUCUUUUCCAACCUUUUGGAGUUGGUUACACCAACAAAAAUGUAAAAUGAAAAAAAUAUAUAUUUUGGUUGUUCGGGCUUCCUAAAAGUAAUACCCGGGUAUUAGGUUAUGGGGCUAUGGUAAGGUUUAAGGUUUUUGGCGUUAGGGUUAAAAUCACUGUCCAAAACCUUUGUAGGAACUCUUUUUCAACCUUUUGGAGUUAGUUAGACCAAAAAAAAAAUGAAAAAUGAAAAAAAAAUAUUUGGGGUUUACGGGCUUCCUGAAUGUAAUACCCGGGUAUUAGAUUUUAAGGCUAGGGAAAGGUUUAAGUUUUUUGGCGUUAGGGUUAAAAUCACUGUCCAAAACCUUUGUAGGAACUCUUUUCCAACCUUUUGGAGUUAGUUAGACCAAAAAAAAAGAAAAAUGAAAAAAAAAAUAUUUGGGGUGUUCAGGCUUCCUAAAAGUAAUACCCGGGUAUUAGGUUAUGGGGCUAUGGUAAGGUUUUAAGUUUUGGCGUUAGGUUUAAAAUCACUGUCCAAAACCUUUGUAGGAACUCUUUUCCAACCUUUUGGAGUUAGUUAGACCAAAAAAUAUGAAAAAAGAAAAAAAUAUUAUUGGGGGUUUUCGGGCUCCCUGAAAGUAAUACCCGGGUAUUAGGUUUUGGGGCUAUGGUAAGGUUUAAGUUUUUUGGCGUUAGGGUUAAAAUCACUGUCCAAAACCUUUGUAGGAACUCUUUUCCAACCUUUUGGAGUUAGUUAGACCAAAAAAAAAAGAAAAAUGAAAAAAAAAUAUUUGGGGUGUUCAGGCUUCCUAAAAGUAAUACCCGGGUAUUAGGUUAUGGGGCUAUGGUAAGGUUUAAGGUUUUUGGCGUUAGGGUUAAAAUCACUGUCCAAAACCUUUGUAGGAACUCUUUUCCAACCUUUUGGAGUUAGUUAGACCAAAAAAAAAUGAAAAAUGAAAAAAAAAAUAUUUGGGGUUUUCGGGCUUCCUGAAUGUAAUACCCGGGUAUUAGAUUUUAAGGCCAGGGUAAGGUUUAAGUUUUUUGGCGUUAGGGUUAAAAUCACUGUCCAAAACCUUUGUAGGAACUCUUUUCCAACCUUUUGGAGUUAGUUAGACCAAAAAAUAUGAAAAAUGAAAAAAAAAUAUUUGGGGUGUUCAGGCUUCCUAAAAGUAAUACCCGGGUAUUAGGUUAUGGGGCUAUGGUAAGGUUUAAGUUUUUUGGCGUUAGGGUUAAAAUCACUGUCCAAAACCUUUGUAGGAACUCUUUUCCAACCUUUUGGAGUUAGUUAGACCAAAAAAAAUGAAAAAUGAAAAAAAAUAUAUUUGGGGUGUUCAGGCUUCCUAAAAGUAAUACCCGGGUAUUAGGUUAUGGGGCUAUGGUAAGGUUUAAGGUUUUUGGCGUUAGGGUUAAAAUCACUGUCCAAAACCUUUGUAGGAACUCUUUUCCAACCUUUUGGAGUUAGUUAGACCAAAAAAAAUAUGAAAAAUGAAAAAAAAAAUAUUUGGGGUUUUCGGGCUUCCUGAAAGUAAUACCCGGGUAUUAGAUUUUAAGGCCAGGGAAAGGUUUAAGUUUUUUGGCGUUAGGGUUAAAAUCACUGUCCAAAACCUUUGUAGGAACUCUUUUCCAACCUUUUGGAGUUAGUUAGACCAAAAAGUAUGAAAAAAGAAAAAAAUAUUAUUGGGGGUUUUCGGGCUCCCUGAAAGUAAUACCCGGGUAUUAGGUUUUGGGGCUAUGGUAAGGUUUAAGUUUUUUGGCGUUAGGGUUAAAAUCACUGUCCAAAACCUUUGUAGGAACUCUUUUCCAACCUUUUGGAGUUAGUUAGACCAAAAAAUAUGAAAAAAGAAAAAAAUAUUAUUGGGGGUUUUCGGGCUUCCUGAAGGUAAUACCCAGGUAUUAGGUUUUGGGACUGGGGAAAGGUUUAAGGUUUUUGGCAUAAGGGUUAAAAUCCCUGUCCAAAACCUUUGUAGGAACACUUUUCCAACCUUUUGGAGUUAGUUAGACCAAAAAAAAAUGAAAAAUGAAAAAACAAUAUUUGGGGUUUUCGGGGUUCCUGAAUGUAAUACCCAGGUAUUAGGUUUUAAGGCUAGGGUAAGGUUUAAGUUUUUUGGCGUUAGGGUUAAAAUCACUGUCCAAAACCUUUGUAGGAACUCUUUUCCAACCUUUUGGAGUUAGUUAGACCAAAAAAAAAAUGAAAAAUGAAAAAACAAUAUUUGGGGUUUUCGGGGUUCCUGAAUGUAAUACCCGGGUAUUAGAUUUUAAGGCUAGGGUAAGGUUUAAGUUUUUUGGCAUCAGGGUUAAAAUCACUGUCCAAAACCUUUGUAGGAACUCUUUUCCAACCUUUUGGAGUUAGUUACACCAAAAAGUAUGAAAAAAGAAAAAAAUAUUAUUGGGGGUUUUCGGGCUCCCUGAAAGUAAUACCCGGGUAUUAGGUUAUGGGGCUAUGGUAAGGUUUAAGUUUUUUGGCGUUAGGGUUAAAAUCACUGUCCAAAACCUUUGUAGGAACUCUUUUCCAACCUUUUGGAGUUAGUUAGACCAAAAAAAAAAAAGAAAAAUGAAAAAAAAAUAUUUGGGGUGUUCAGGCUUCCUAAAAGUAAUACCCGGGUAUUAGGUUAUGGGGCUAUGGUAAGGUUUAAGUUUUUUGGCGUUAGGGUUAAAAUCACUGUCCAAAACCUUUGUAGGAACUCUUUUCCAACCUUUUGGAGUUAGUUAGACCAAAAAAUAUGAAAAAAGAAAAAAAUAUUAUUGGGGGUUUUCGGGGUUCCUGAAAGUAAUACCCGGGUAUUAGGUUUUGGGGCUAUGGUAAGGUUUAAGUUUUUUGGCGUUAGGGUUAAAAUCACUGUCCAAAACCUUUGUAGGAACUCUUUUCCAACCUUUUGGAGUUAGUUAGACCAAAAAAUAUGAAAAAAGAAAAAAAUAUUAUUGGGGGUUUUCGGGCUCCCUGAAAGUAAUACCCGGGUAUUAGGUUAUGGGGCUAUGGUAAGGUUUAAGUUUUUUGGCGUUAGGGUUAAAAUCACUGUCCAAAACCUUUGUAGGAACUCUUUUCCAACCUUUUGGAGUUAGUUAGACCAAAAAAAAAAGAAAAAUGAAAAAAAAAUAUUUGGGGUGUUCAGGCUUCCUAAAAGUAAUACCCGGGUAUUAGGUUAUGGGGCUAUGGUAAGGUUUAACGUUUUGGCGUUAGGUUUAAAAUCACUGUCCAAAACCUUUGUAGGAACUCUUUAACAACCUUUUGGAGUUAGUUAGACCAAAAAAAAAUGAAAAAUUAAAAAAAAUAUAUUUGGGGUGUUCAGGCUUCCUAAAAGUAAUACCCGGGUAUUAGGUUAUGGGGCUAUGGUAAGGUUUAAGGUUUUUGGCGUUAGGGUUAAAAUCACUGUCCAAAACCUUUGUAGGAACUCUUUUUCAACCUUUUGGAGUUAGUUAGACCAAAAAAAAAAAAAGAAAAAUGAAAAAAAAAAUAUUUGGGGUUUACGGGCUUCCUGAAUGUAAUACCCGGGUAUUAGAUUUUAAGGCCAGGGAAAGGUUUAAGUUUUUUGGCGUUAGGGUUAAAAUCACUGUCCAAAACCUUUGUAGGAACUCUUUUCCAACCUUUUGGAGUUAGUUAGACCAAAAAAUAUGAAAAAAGAAAAAAUAUUAUUGGGGGUUUUCGGGCUCCCUGAAAGUAAUACCCGGGUAUUAGGUUUUGGGGCUAUGGUAAGGUUUAAGUUUUUUGGCGUUAGGGUUAAAAUCACUGUCCAAAACCUUUGUAGGAACUCUUUUCCAACCUUUUGGAGUUAGUUAGACCAAAAAAUAUGAAAAAAGAAAAAAAUAUUAUUGGGGGUUUUCGGGCUCCCUGAAAGUAAUACCCGGGUAUUAGGUUUUGGGGCUAUGGUAAGGUUUAAGUUUUUUGGCGUUAGGGUUAAAAUCACUGUCCAAAACCUUUGUAGGAACUCUUUUCCAACCUUUUGGAGUUAGACCAAAAAAAAAUGAAAAAUGAAAAAACAAUAUUUGGGGUUUUCGGGCUUCCUGAAUGUAAUACCCGGGUAUUAGAUUUUAAGGCUAGGGUAAGGUUUAAGUUUUUUGGCGUUAGGGUUAAAAUCACUGUCCAAAACCUUUGUAGGAACUCUUUUCCAACCUUUUGGAGUUAGUUAGACCAAAAAAUAUGAAAAAAGAAAAAAAUAUUAUUGGGGGUUUUCGGGCUCCCUGAAAGUAAUACCCGGGUAUUAGGUUUUGGGGCUAGGGUAAGGUUUAAGUUUUUUGGCGUUAGGGUUAAAAUCACUGUCCAAAACCUUUGUAGGAACUCUUUUCCAACCUUUUGGAGUUAGUUAGACCAAAAAAAAAAAGAAAAAUGAAAAAAAAAUAUUUGGGGUGUUCAGGCUUCCUGAAGGUAAUACCCGGGUAUUAGAUUUCAAGGCUAGGGUAAGGUUUAAGGUUUUUGGCGUUAGGGUUAAAAUCACUGUCCAAAACCUUUGUAGGAACUCUUUUCCAACCUUUUGGAGUUAGUUAGACCAAAAAAUAUGAAAAAAGAAAAAAAUAUUAUUGGGGGUUUUUGGGCUCCCUGAAAGUAAUACCCAUGUAUUAGGUUUUGGGACUAGGGAAAGGUUUAAGGGUUUUGGCAUUAGGGUUAAAAUCACUGUCCAAAACCUUUGUAGGAACUCUUUUCCAACCUUUUGGAGUUAGUUAGACCAAAAAAAAAAAAGAAAAAUGAAAAAAAAAUAUUUGGGGUGUUCAGGCUUCCUAAAAGUAAUACCCGGGUAUUAGGUUAUGGGGCUAUGGUAAGGUUUAACGUUUUGGCGUUAGGUUUAAAAUCACUGUCCAAAACCUUUGUAGGAACUCUUUUUCAACCUUUUGGAGUUAGUUAGACCAAAAAAAAAAUGAAAAAUGAAAAAAAAAUAUUUGGGGUUUUCGGGCUUCCUGAAUGUAAUACCCGGGUAUUAGAUUUUAAGGCCAGGGAAAGGUUUAAGUUUUUUGGCGUUAGGGUUAAAAUCACUGUCCAAAACCUUUGUAGGAACUCUUUUCCAACCUUUUGGAGUUAGUUAGACCAAAAAAUAUGAAAAAAGAAAAAGAUAUUAUUGGGGGUUUUCGGGCUUCCUGAAAGUAAUACCCGGGUAUUAGGUUUUGGGGCUAUGGUAAGGUUUAAGUUUUUUGGCGUUAGGGUUAAAAUCACUGUCCAAAACCUUUGUAGGAACUCUUUUCCAACCUUUUGGAGUUAGUUAGACCAAAAAAAAAAGAAAAAUGAAAAAAAAAUAUUUGGGGUGUUCAGGCUUCCUAAAAGUAAUACCCGGGUAUUAGGUUAUGGGGCUAUGGUAAGGUUUAAGGUUUUUGGCGUUAGGGUUAAAAUCACUGUCCAAAACCUUUGUAGGAACUCUUUUCCAACCUUUUGGAGUUAGUUAGACCAAAAAAAAUGAAAAAUGAAAAAAAAAUAUUUGGGGUUUACGGGCUUCCUGAAUGUAAUACCCGGGUAUUAGAUUUUAAGGCCAGGGUAAGGUUUAAGUUUUUUGGCGUUAGGGUUAAAAUCACUGUCCAAAACCUUUGUAGGAACUCUUUUCCAACCUUUUGGAGUUAGUUAGACCAAAAAAUAUGAAAAAUGAAAAAAAAAAUAUUUGGGGUGUUCGGGCUUCCUAAAAGUAAUACCCGGGUAUUAGGUUAUGGGGCUAUGGUAAGGUUUAAAGUUUUUGGCGUUAGGUUUAAAAUCACUGUCCAAAACCUUUGUAGGAACUCUUUAAAAACCUUUUGGAUUUAGUUAGACCAAAAAAAAUGAAAAAUUAAAAAAAUAUAUUUGGGGUGUUCAGGCUUCCUAAAAGUAAUACCCGGGUAUUAGGUUAUGGGCCUAUGGUAAGGUUUAAGGUUUUUGGCGUUAGGGUUAAAAUCACUGUCCAAAACCUUUGUAGGAACUCUUUUCCAACCUUUUGGAGUUAGUUAGACCAAAAAAAAAUGAAAAAUGAAAAAAAAAAUAUUUGGGGUUUACGGGCUUCCUGAAUGUAAUACCCGGGUAUUAGAUUUUAAGGCCAGGGAAAGGUUUAAGUUUUUUUGCGUUAGGGUUAAAAUCACUGUCCAAAACCUUUGUAGGAACUCUUUUCCAACCUUUUGGAGUUAGUUAGACCAAAAAGUAUGAAAAAAGAAAAAAAAAUAUUAUUGGGGGUUUUCGGGCUCCCUGAAAGUAAUACCCGGGUAUUAGGUUUUGGGGCUAUGGUAAGGUUUAAGUUUUUUGGCGUUAGGGUUAAAAUCACUGUCCAAAACCUUUGUAGGAACUCUUUUCCAACCUUUUGGAGUUAGUUAGACCAAAAAAUAUGAAAAAAGAAAAAAAUAUUAUUGGGGGUUUCAGGGCUUCCUGAAGGUAAUACCCAGGUAUUAGGUUUUGGGACUGGGGAAAGGUUUAAGGUUUUUGGCGUUAGGGUUAAAAUCACUGUCCAAAACCUUUGUAGGAACUCUUUUCCAACCUUUUGGAGUUAGUUAGACCAAAAAAUAUGAAAAAUGAAAAAAUAUAUAUUUGGGGUUUUCCGGGCUUCCUGAAAGUAAUACCCGGGUAUUAGGUUUUGGGGCUAUGGUAAGGUUUAAGUUUUUUGGCGUUAGGGUUAAAAUCACUGUCCAAAACCUUUGUAGGAACUCUUUUCCAACCUUUUGGAGUUAGUUAGACCAAAAAAAAAUGAAAAAUGAAAAAACAAUAUUUGGGGUUUUCGGGGUUCCUGAAUGUAAUACCCGGGUAUUAGAUUUCAAGGCUAGGGUAAGGUUUAAGUUUUUUGGCGUUAGGGUUAAAAUCACUGUCCAAAACCUUUGUAGGAACUCUUUUCCAACCUUUUGGAGUUAGUUAGACCAAAAAGUAUGAAAAAAGAAAAAAAUAUUAUUGGGGGUUUUCGGGCUCCCUGAAAGUAAUACCCGGGUAUUAGGUUUUGGGGCUAGGGUAAGGUUUAAGUUUUUUGGCGUUAGGGUUAAAAUCACUGUCCAAAACCUUUGUAGGAACUCUUUUCCAACCUUUUGGAGUUAGUUAGACCAACAAAAAUGUAAAAUGAAGAAAAAAAUAUUUGGGGUGUUCAGGCUUCCUGAAGGUAAUACCCGGGUAUUAGAUUUCAAGGCUAGGGUAAGGUUUAAGGUUUUUGGCGUUAGGGUUAAAAUCACUGUCCAAAACCUUUGUAGGAACUCUUUUCCAACCUUUUGGAGUUAGUUAGACCAAAAAAUAUGAAAAAAGAAAAAAAUAUUAUUGGGGGUUUUUGGGCUCCUGAAAGUAAUACCCGUGUAUUAGGUUUUGGGACUAGGGAAAGGUUUAAGGGUUUUGGCAUUAGGGUUAAAAUCACUGUCCAAAACCUUUGUAGGAACUCUUUUCCAACCUUUUGGAGUUAGUUAGACCAAAAAAAAAAGAAAAAUGAAAAAAAAAUAUUUGGGGUGUUCAGGCUUCCUAAAAGUAAUACCCGGGUAUUAGGUUAUGGGGCUAUGGUAAGGUUUAACGUUUUGGCGUUAGGUUUAAAAUCACUGUCCAAAACCUUUGUAGGAACUCUUAUUCAACCUUUUGGAGUUAGUUAGACCAGAAAAAAAAAUGAAAAAUGAAAAAAAAAAUAUUUGGGGUAUACGGGCUUCCUGAAUGUAAUACCCGGGUAUUAGAUUUUAAGGCUAGGGAAAGGUUUAAGUUUUUUGGCGUUAGGGUUAAAAUCACUGUCCAAAACCUUUGUAGGAACUCUUUUCCAACCUUUUGGAGUUAGUUAGACCAAAAAAUAUGAAAAAAGAAAAAAAUAUUAUUGGGGGUUUUCGGGCUUCCUGAAAGUAAUACCCGGGUAUUAGGUUUUGGGGCUAUGGUAAGGUUUAAGUUUUUUGGCGUUAGGGUUAAAAUCACUGUCCAAAACCUUUGUAGGAACUCUUUUCCAACCUUUUGGAGUUAGUUAGACCAAAAAAAAAAAGAAAAAUGAAAAAAAAUAUUUGGGGUUUUCGGGCUUCCUGAAUGUAAUACCCUGGUAUUAGGAUUUUAAGGCUAGGGUAAGGUUUAAGUUUUUUGGCGUUAGGGUUAAAAUCACUGUCCAAAACCUUUGUAGGAACUCUUUUCCAACCUUUUGGAGUUAGUUAGACCAAAAAGUAUGAAAAAAGAAAAAAAAAUAUUUGGGGUGUUCAGGCUUCCUGAAAGUAAUACCCGGGUAUUAGGUUAUGGGGCUAUGGUAAGGUUUAACGUUUUGGCGUUAGGGUUAAAAUCACUGUCCAAAACCUUUGUAGGAACUCUUUUCCAACCUUUUGGAGUUAGUUAGACCAAAAAAAAUGAAAAAUGAAAAAAAUAUAUUUUGGGUGUUCAGGCUUCCUAAAAGUAAUACCUGGGUAUUAGGUUAUGGGGCUAUGGUAAGGUUUAAGGUUUUUGGCGUUAGGGUUAAAAUCACUGUCCAAAACCUUUGUAGGAACUCUUUUCAACCUUUUGGAGUUAGUUAGACCAAAAAAAUAUGAAAAAUGAAAAAAAAAAUAUUUGGGGUUUACGGGCUUCCUGAAUGUAAUACCCGGGUAUUAGAUUUUAAGGCCAGGGAAAGGUUUAAGUUUUUUGGCGUUAGGGUUAAAAUCACUGUCCAAAACCUUUGUAGGAACUCUUUUCCAACCUUUUGGAGUUAGUUAGACCAAAAAAUAUGAAAAAAGAAAAAAAUAUUAUUGGGGGUUUUCGGGCUCCCUGAAAGUAAUACCCGGGUAUUAGGUUUUGGGGCUAUGGUAAGGUUUAAGUUUUUUGGCGUUAGGGUUAAAAUCACUGUCCAAAACCUUUGUAGGAACUCUUUUCCAACCUUUUGGAGUUAGUUAGACCAAAAAAUAUGAAAAAAGAAAAAAAUAUUAUUGGGGGUUUUCGGGCUUCCUGAAGGUAAUACCCAGGUAUUAGGUUUUGGGACUGGGGAAAGGUUUAAGGUUUUUGGCAUAAGGGUUAAAAUCCCUGUCCAAAACCUUUGUAGGAACACUUUUCCAACCUUUUGGAAUUAGAUAAACCAAAAAAAUAUGAAAAAUGAAAAAAUAUAUAUUUGGGGUUUCCGGGCUUCCUGAAAGUAAUACCCGGGUAUUAGGUUUUGGGGCUAUGGUAAGGUUUAAGUUUUUUGGCGUUAGGGUUAAAAUCACUGUCCAAAACCUUUGUAGGAACUCUUUUCCAACCUUUUGGAGUUAGUUAGAACAAAAAAUAUGAAAAAAGAAAAAAAUAUUAUUGGGGGUUUUCGGGCUCCCUGAAAGUAAUACCCGGGUAUUAGGUUUUGGGGCUAUGGUAAGGUUUAAGUUUUUUGGCGUUAGGGUUAAAAUCACUGUCCAAAACCUUUGUAGGAACUCUUUUCCAACCUUUUGGAGUUAGUUAGACCAAAAAAAAAAUGAAAAAUGAAAAAACAAUAUUUGGGGUUUUCGGGGUUCCUGAAUGUAAUACCCGGGUAUUAGAUUUUAAGGCUAGGGUAAGGUUUAAGUUUUUUGGCAUUAGGGUUCAAAUCACUGUCCAAAACCUUUGUAGGAACUCUUUUCCAACCUUUUGGAGUUAGUUAGACCAAAAAGUAUGAAAAAAGAAAAAAAUAUUAUUGGGGGUUUUCGGGCUCCCUGAAAGUAAUACCCGGGUAUUAGGUUUUGGGGCUAUGGUAAGGUUUAAGUUUUUUGGCGUUAGGGUUAAAAUCACUGUCCAAAACCUUUGUAGGAACUCUUUUCCAACCUUUUGGAGUUAGUUAGACCAAAAAAAAAUGAAAAAUUAAAAAACAAUAUUUGGGGUUUUCGGGGUUCCUGAAUGUAAUACCCGGGUAUUAGAUUUUGAGGCUAGGGUAAGGUUUAAGUUUUUUGGCAUUAGGGUUAAAAUCACUGUCCAAAACCUUUGUAGGAACUCUUUUCCAACCUUUUGGAGUUAGUUACACCAAAAAGUAUGAAAAAAGAAAAAAAUAUUAUUGGGGGUUUUCGGGCUCCCUGAAAGUAAUACCCGGGUAUUAGGUUUUGGGGCUAGGGUAAGGUUUAAGUUUUUUGGCGUUAGGUUUAAAAUCACUGUCCAAAACCUUUGUAGGAACUCUUUAACAACCUUUUGGAUUUAGUUAGACCAAAAAAAAUGUAAAAUGAAGAAAAAAAUAUUUGGGGUGUUCAGGCUUCCUGAAGGUAAUACCCGGGUAUUAGAUUUCAAGGCUAGGGUAAGGUUUAAGGUUUUUGGCGUUAGGGUUAAAAUCACUGUCCAAAACCUUUGUAGGAACUCUUUUCCAACCUUUUGGAGUUAGUUAGACCAAAAAAUAUGAAAAAAGAAAAAAAUAUUAUUGGGGGUUUUUCGGGCUCCCUGAAAGUAAUACCCGGGUAUUAGGUUUUGGGACUAGGGAAAGGUUUAAGGGUUUGGCAUUAGGGUUAAAAUCACUGUCCAAAACCUUUGUAGGAACUCUUUUCCAACCUUUUGGAGUUAGUUAGACCAAAAAAUAUGAAAAAAGAAAAAAAUAUUAUUGGGGGUUUUCAGGCUUCCUAAAAGUAAUACCCAGGUAUUAGGUUUUGUGGCUAUGGGAAGGUUUAAGUUUUUUGGCGUUAGGGUUAAAAUCACUGUCCAAAACCUUUGUAGGAACUCUUUUCCAACCUUUUGGAGUUAGUUAGACCAAAAAAAAAAAAAAGAAAAAUGAAAAAAAAAUAUUUGGGGUGUUCAGGCUUCCCAAAAGUAAUACGUAUUAGGUUAUGGGGCUAUGGUAAGGUUUAACGUUUUGGCGUUAGGUUUAAAAUCACUGUCCAAAACCUUUGUAGGAACUCUUUUUCAACCUUUUGGAGUUAGUUAGACCAAAAAAAAAAAGAAAAAUGAAAAAAAAAUAUUUGGGGUGUUCAGGCUUCCUAAAAGUAAUACCCGGGUAUUAGGUUAUGGGGCUAUGGUAAGGUUUAAGUUUUUUGGCGUUAGGGUUAAAAUCACUGUCCAAAACCUUUGUAGGAACUCUUUUCCAACCUUUUGGAGUUAGUUAGACCAAAAAAAAAAUGGAAAAUGAAAAAAAAAAUAUUUGGGGUUUACGGGCUUCCUGAUUGU